rnacentral:pre_miRNA from 1 species
AGCUUUUCGAAUCCGUGCUGGGAUUUCGUCAGACACCAACUCAUUAGGGCUGAUCAGACUUCCAUAACAAGUGAAGUU